GAUGAACGCUGGCGGCGUGCCUAAUACAUGCAAGUCGAGCGAACAGACGAGGAGCUUGCUCCUCUGACGUUAGCGGCGGACGGGUGAGUAACACGUGGAUAACCUACCUAUAAGACUGGGAUAACUUCGGGAAACCGGAGCUAAUACCGGAUAAUAUAUUGAACCGCAUGGUUCAAUAGUGAAAGACGGUUUUGCUGUCACUUCUAGAUGGAUCCGCGCCGCAUUAGCUAGUUGGUACGGUAACGGCUUACCAAGGCAACGAUGCGUAGCCGACGUGAGAGGGUGAUCGGCCACACUGGAGCGGGAACACGGUCCAGGCGCCUGCGAGACGCAGCAGUAGGGAAUCUGACGCAAUGGGCGAAAGCCUGGCGGAGCAACGCCGCGUGAGUGAUGACGGUCUUCGGAUCGUAAAACUCUGUUAUUGGGGAAGAACAAAUGUGUAAGUAACUAUGCACGUCUUGACGGUACCUAAUCAGAAAGCCACGGCUAACUACGUG
rnacentral:rRNA from 1 species